GAUGAACGCUGGCGGCGUGCCUAAUACAUGCAAGUCGAGCGAACAGACGAUGAGCUUGCUCCUCUUACGUUAGCGGCUGACGGGUGAGUAACACGUGUAUAACCUACCUAUAAUACUGGGAUAACUUCGGGAAACCGGAUCUUAUACCGGAUAAUAUAUUGAACCGCAUGGUUCAUUAUUGAAAGACGGUUUUGCUGUCACUUAUAGAUGGUUCCCCGCGGCAUUAUCUAGUUGGUAAGGUAACGGCUUACCAAGGCAACGAUGCGUAGCCGACCUGAGAGGGGGAGCGGACAAACGGGAAGUGAGACACGGACAAGAGGACUAAGGGAGGCAGCAGAAGGGAAUGUUCCGCAAUGGGGGAAAGCUUGACGGAGAAAGGCGGAGUGAGUGAUGAAGGUCUAGGGAUCGUAAAACUCUGUUAUUAGGGAAGAACAAAUGUGUAAGUAAAUAUGCACGUAGUGACGGUAACUAAUAAGAAAGCAACGGCUAACUACGUG
rnacentral:rRNA from 1 species